GACGAACGCUGGCGGCGUGCUUAACACAUGCAAGUCGAACGAUGAAGCCGGAGCUUGCUCUGGUGAAUUAGUGGCGAACGGGUGAGUAACACGUGAGUAACCUGCCCUUGACUCUGGGAUAACUGCUAGAAAUGGUAGCUAAUACCGGAUACGACCCUCGGCGGCAUCGCCAGGGGGUGGAAAGAAUUUCGGUCAAGGAUGGACUCGCGGCCUAUCAGCUAGUUGGUGAGGUAACGGCUCACCAAGGCGACGACGGGUAGCCGGCCUGGGAGGGUGACCGGCCACACUGGGACUGAGACACGGCCCAGACUCCUACGGGAGGCAGCAGUGGGGAAUAUUGCACAAUGGGCGCAAGCCUGAUUCAGCAACGCCGCGUGAGGGAUGACGGCCUUCGGGUUGUAAACCUCUUUUAGUAGGGAAGAAGCGAAAGUGACGGUACCUGCAGAAAAAGCACCGGCUAACUACGUGCCAGCAGCCGCGGUAA
rnacentral:rRNA from 1 species